rnacentral:rRNA from 1 species
UACGGAGGAUGCAAGCGUUAUCCGGAAUGAUUGGGCGUAAAGCGUCCGCAGGUGGCAAUGUAAGUCUGCUGUCAAAGCGUCUGGCUCAACCAGAUACUGGCAGUGGAAACUACAUAGCUAGAGUAAGGUAGGGGUAGAGGGAAUUCCUGGUGUAGCGGUGAAAUGCGUAGAGAUCAGGAAGAACACCGGUGGCGAAGGCGCUCUGCUGGACCUUAACUGACACUGAGGGACGAAAGCUAGGGGAGCGAAUGGG